rfam:Paenibacillus sp. HGF7 contig00013, whole genome shotgun sequence.
CCAACCGAAAAUCAGCCAGCUCGUAUAAAGGCAGGAAUAGGCCUGCCAGUCUCUACCCGGUCACCGUAAAUGACCGGACUACGGGUGAUGACAAAUUCCGG